UACGUAGGGUGCGAGCGUUAAUCGGAAUUACUGGGCGUAAAGCGUGCGCAGGCGGUCGUGUAAGACAGGUGUGAAAUCCCCGGGCUUAACCUGGGAACUGCAUUUGUGACUGCACGGCUGGAGUGCGGCAGAGGGGGAUGGAAUUCCGCGUGUAGCAGUGAAAUGCGUAGAUAUGCGGAGGAACACCGAUGGCGAAGGCAAUCCCCUGGGCCUGCACUGACGCUCAUGCACGAAAGCGUGGGGAGCAAACAGG
rnacentral:rRNA from 1 species